GACUGGCCAGCAUGCGGGCGUCGUGGCAUCCUCCUAAUCUCCAGCGUCCAAUUUACAUCACGUGACCCCACUACCCCGCAAACCGUCCCUUCUCUUUCUUAUCUUCUCACCCUGAUAGUUCUCCUCCACUCGUUCUCUUCCUCUUUCUCGCUUUCCUAAAUGGAUCUCCACUCUCUCUCUCUUGCCAUGCGCGCCACACCGCUAUAGGUACGCCUCCCACAAGCACUCCUUCCUCUCUCUACUUCCCUGUUGUCGUGCGGCCUUAACAUGGUGCGCCGCAACGCCGGCGAUGAGGCAACGGCGAGCCGUUCUGUGCCCUCCCCCACGAGCUCGAGGCAACGAAGCUCACACACCCUGCGGAUGCAACACCAAUUUUUUUUGCAAGACGCCGUGCUCCUACUAUGGCUUUGUCUUUUAUUUUAGCCGGUUGCAGCUAUUUUUAUUUCUAUGUUUCAGCUUUUCAUUUUGCUGCUCGCAACAAUUUCAUCCACGAGCACCAAUUCUUGAUUCAAAGGUUCCAACUGUUUUUUCCAGGUAGUAGAUUUUCACGUUGCUGGUUGGAACUUUUGAUUUUGCCGGUUGCAACAAUCCUUUUUUGACAGUAGCAACUUUUUAACUCGUCGGUUGUGGCAUUUUAUUUCGCCGGUACUAGCUUUUCGUCGGAGGACAAAAUCAAUAAUUUUUUUCUUGCUACAACCAUAUACAUUAGAAGUUACAACUACGCACGCUAGAGUUGCAAGCCGUGUGCACUUGAGCUAGAGCCGUUUACAAUUGGAGACGCCAGUCGCCAGUGAGUUGCAAUCGGCGAUAUUGUAUGUUCGAUCGACAACUGUGUGUGCUACAACGGCGACGAGCGGCAUCAAUGGAGCACGGCAGCGGUGUCAUUUGCGAACAAAUCGGCCGUGGACUGCACGGGCCGAGGCACGUCCCUGUUCUUUUUUGCCUGGAUUUUAUUUUUUUUGCUGUGUUGCAUCCUAAUCUGACAGCUGCUGCAGGGUGAAUCGGAGGGCUGCACGUCGGCAGGUCGAAAUUUGGACCGGCCGGCCGGCGCCUAGGCCCCUCUGUUCCAGUUGAUAGAGAAGCGAGGCACAGAAGUCACCUACGCAAGCGGUCCGACCUCUUAAUUUCUAGGCGGCAGCGGACGGAAGAACGCGAGGAACGGGACGCCCCGACGCCGAACGCCUACGCACCCACAUCGGCGCGUAGCCAACCACCUCUGCCUCCUUGACGUCGUGCGUCGUCUUCCUCUCUUCAAUGACACUGCCCGUAGGUGGUAACUGAGAAGAGCACACCGGUGCGAGGGUGUUUGAGUUUAAAGCCGACCCCUGCCCUGCCCUGCCCCGCCCCGUAACGCAUGCAUUGCUCGCCGGAGCUGCAAUGUGGCAGCCUCGCCUCGUUCUCCGCGCGACACGGCAGCAGCAUGCGCCUUGGCAUGGCACCGUGGACGUCCGUCCAGGCAAGCGCAGCCCAGCCCGCGGUCGCCUAUAAAUGCAGGUGCCCAGGCCACAAGCCGCUUCCAUCUAUCACAGCGCGCGCGCACACUGAGCAAGUGAGUAAGUAAAUUGAGUGUAGCAGAUUGGACAAUGGGAGGGCGCAGCAAGAAGCGUGGUACGGAACUAGGGAGUGCUCCCCGAGAUUGCGCAUAGCUUUACCAGUUGUUCAUGGCGGUUCUGUUUUGUUUCUGGUUUCGGUUUCAGGUGGGGCGAAGGGGCGCGGCCGUGAGGGCGGCGGGGAGAACCCGGCGUCGGGCGGGAACAGCAACAGCGCGCAGCCGAUGGCCAACGUCGAGCCCCUGACGAGGCGGGUGCUGCCGUCGAAUGACAAGACCGCCGAGUCCACGAAGCAGGGCGCGGUCGAGUUGUUUUUCAGCCGCAGGGCGCGCCCUCCUGCGCGGCCGGCGAUGACGGCGGCCGUGUCGCAUGACGCGCCAGUGUUCACCGAAGAGGAGCUGGAGUUCCUCCAGUCGGUUAUUCCUCCGCCGCCGGGCGGAUAUUAGCUGUGCGGCGGGCAAGCUCGUCGGCCACAGUCCCAGGUGCUGCCACCUGCGGGGCAUGGCUAUAAAUGUAGCGUUGUUUUGCCUCAAGAAAAAUCCCGAAGUAUCCAAUAAGGCAAUAAUAUAUUCGGAAAAGAUAACGCCAGAACGUCAGUAUUUUUAAGCUUUUCGUCCGGAACGCCCUAGCAACCGUAGAUGCAACUCAUCAAUCUUGAUGCGUGAGUCCGUGACAGGUCGGCGUUGCAAAUCAUAGGGUCCCGCUGAAAAGACGUGCAUGUCGCUACAGAAGAAAU
rnacentral:lncRNA from 1 species